UACGUAGGCAGCAAGCGUUGUUCGGAGUUACUGGGCGUAAAGGGUGCGUAGGCGGUUGUUUAAGCUUGGUGUGAAAUCUCCCGGCUCAACUGGGAGGGUGCGCCGAAUACUGAAUGACUAGAGUGCGGGAGAGGAGAGUGGAAUUCCUGGUGUAGCGGUGAAAUGCGUAGAUAUCAGGAGGAACACCGGUGGUGUAGACGGCUCUCUGGACCGUAACUGACGCUGAGGCACGAAAGCGUGGGUAGCAAACAGG
rnacentral:rRNA from 1 species